CGUGGAAACGAUCGCAUUCGCAGUGGGGCAUAAGCUGACAUAAGCGCCGACAGGAUUCUCCUCAAGGUGAUCCACGUGCUCGAUGCUUACUUUCCGGCUGCGUAGCCCGUGAUUCUCACGAGAUAAUGAUCAGACGAUAGUGGCUGUGAACUGUGUAUUUCAGGUACUCUCCACAUGACAGUCUUGUUUUCGUUGCUUUUAAAUUAAUAUCAUCGAGAGAAGAAAGCACUUUCGUUUCUCAUUUCAAAAUUUCUCGAAUAUUGUUGGAUACUUUCACUGCUUCCUUGCUUAUUUUAAGAAAUUACUUUCUAAUAGUAAAAAGCGAAAUAUUUUGCUUCUUGAUUAUGUAUAUUUCAUAGUUUCUAGUUUAUUUCAUGAUUUCUAAUAUCGCUGAUUAAUCGCUUUAAAUCAAUGUAUUUUCUUUCUAAAUAGCAAUAAAUUAUUUUAUACAGUUUCAGUAAGAAAGACCAAAUCACUAUUUUGUUAAUGCUUUUAAAAGAUUUCCAUCCAGAGAUGCGAAUGCGGUAUUACAAUUUCCUGAGGGCGCCCAUGGGAACGUAUAUUUGCUUCGAUUUUAUGUUGGACACGGGAAUAGGAGCCGGCGAGAAAAGUUACGCGCAGGUCGACACGAUGAUGGCGUCGUCAACGUCUUCGCAUUAACAUGUUGCUUUACGCGCCGUCGAAUCCAGCCUUCUCUCGACACAUUACGAGUGAUUUAAAGGCGAUUGAUCGGAGAGAACGAGUGCGAUUAGUGAUAAAAGAGAAUAAAACAGUGAUGAUCAGACAUUACACUCGCGUAAUGCUGCAUUUCAUGAUCGUAGAGAUGCGUUUGACAUAGUUGAAAGUUGAUGAUAAUUAUGAAAAAAUGAUAAUACAUGUUGCCAUGUGUAAUUAUAUAAAUCUGUUGAAGAUUUUGAAGAUAACUGAGAAUUAUGUAAUCCAUUCGAUGUGCCUUCAUCAUAUAAUAUAAUAUAUAUUUUAUUACAUAAUAUCGUUAAAAUCAAAUAGUAGAUAUUCUCACUUAAUUCGCUGAAAGAUCGAAGAAAUAAUGAAUUCUCUGCACAACGAAAAAAUCACGAGGAAUAAUUCAUAAAAAUUAUAGGUUAAUGUUUACUUAAGCGAGUAAAUGAGAAGUUUUAAAGGCUGCAUGUGCAAAAAUGCAUCGCCGUCAGCAAUAAAAAUAUCACAAAAAAGUGGCAAUUUACUGAUGAUCUGACUCAUUACGACAGUUCUAAGAAUUUUAGCUAAUGACCAAGUACAAUUUUCAACAUCUCAAUCAAUCUGUCACUUGUGUCACAUGGAUAAGAGAGUAAGUUUUGGCAAGUUUCCAUGGACUGUGUGUAAAAUCGACCCAGGCGAUAUCUGCCGGACUGCGAUGCUGCACGAAGAAACUAUAAGUAGAGGUAAAAGUAGGUUGCAAGAAGAUCUAUUACGAUAUUUCGAAGAAAGUAUCAUCUAGACGAUACAUACACGUUUCUUCGCGUUUCUCUUUGUGGUCCACGAGUCUUUUCAAUUUGAACAGUCGAGUUAGUUUGAUGAAAUUUCGAAAUAAAGCAUAAUGCUAUAUUAAUAAAUACACACUGA